ensembl:misc_RNA Metazoa_SRP Metazoan signal recognition particle RNA
GCUGGGCGUGGUGGCUCAUGCCUGUAAUCCCAGCACUUUGGGAGGCCGAGGUGGGAGGAUUGCUUGAGCUCAGGAGUUUAAGAUGAACCUGAGUAACAUAGUGAGACCCCAUCUCUA